AACGAACGCUGGCGGCAUGCCUAACACAUGCAAGUCGAACGAGACUUUCGGGUCUAGUGGCGCACGGGUGCGUAACGCGUGGAAACCUGCCCUUAGGUUCGGAAUAACUCCCCGAAAGGGGUGCUAAUACCGGAUAAUGUCUUCGGACCAACGAUUUAUCGCAUUUGUAUGGGCCCGCGUUGGUCUAGCUAGUUGGUAGGGUAAACGCCUACCAAGGCGACGAUCCAUAGCUGGUGUGAGAGGAUGAUCAGCCACACUGGGACUGAGACACGGCCCAGACUCCUACGGGAGGCAGCAGUGGGGAAUAUUGGACAAUGGGCGAGAGCCUGAUCCAGCAAUGCCGCGUGAGUGAUGAAGGCCUUAGGGUUGUAAAGCUCUUUUACCCGUGAUGAUAAUGACAGUACCGGGAGAAUAAGCUCCGGCUAACUCCGUG
rnacentral:rRNA from 1 species